rnacentral:lncRNA from 1 species
CCCCAGGGUUGUUCAGGCUUGAAAUACCAUUCCAAAACUGCAGUAACUUACCAUUCUGUCAUCGGCAGGUUCCAACAACCACGUUUACCAUCCGACCUCAGCAUGGAAAUAUGGCCCUCCUGCAAACUGCACCCGCAACACCGGAAAACAUACAAGAUGGCCAGAGCUUACAAACCUGGACAGUGAUAUCGCCUGAUUUAUGGUUUGAGGAAAUUAAUUUCACGAAAGUGAUGCUGCAUCUGCCAAAAACGCAUUUGCAUUUUGCUUCUCCAUCGGUCCUCUGCAUCUGGGAGCUUACACAAGCCCCCAAAGAAGCUGGCUCCAGGUUCAGUGAGGAGGGGAAGAUGGGGAGAGGCACUGGUAAGGACCGGACAGAAGCAUCCCCUAAAGUACAAGGCCUGAGGGCACAGACCUGUCCACGAGGUGAGUUUCCAGGGUCCUGCCCUAUCCCCCAGGCUUCCAGCAAAUGCCACCAAAGCUUUGUGUUCCCUUUCCAUUCUUGAGAGAGAAUCAUGCCAAACCCUAUUACUGCUGAUCCUCAGAGCACUUCAGAGGAAAUUCUCCGUGAAUGCAAACCCAGGAGCCAUGUUAUUAAGAUUUCCACCCGAUGGCUGCACUCUUUCUAAGGCUUGAGGUAUUUUGCCAGCCCCUAGCCACCUACUCACAGUGAUGGACAGAGGGGAUAGACGGGAUGCCCCUGCCAAGGAUGCUUUGCGAGCCAGCAAGCUGCAAAGCAAAUCCCUCCUCCUGGAAUGUGCUUGACUGUGAACUUGCUGCAUUAAAAAGAUGGGAGGUCAUUGCUUAAACAGACAGGAGGCCACAGACAUUGCCUUCUCAGCCAUCCUUAGGCCAAGUGCCCAUGGUGUGAGAGAAACCAGAAGACCUUGUUUACCCUGGACCAACCCUGUGACGGCACCACAGAUACACAGUUCUCAGGGACUCAUCUCAUCCAUUUGUACCAUGUAUUACUUAAACUCCACUGUGUCCCCUUGCAGGAGACAGACGUGGUUCAUUCCAGCAUCUACCACAGUGCCCAACCCUACAGUCAUGUUCCAUCACAUUAAUUACCUAAUUGAUUAACUGCAAUGAUCGUGAAGACCAUGGCAGUCAAGUGCAAUGAUUCCUUCUUCACGACGAGAAACCUAAGUUUCCCUGAGAGAGGCAAUGGCUUUCCCAAGGUCAUGCAGCUGUGUAGCUAGGAGGUCAAACCUCUUGGACUCUAACACCCUUAAGUAUUCCCCAUGGCUGACCUUUUCCAAGGGCCCUCAGACUGGCUUAUACAAUAUCUUAUAUGCAGACAAUCUUUUGUUUCCUUACACAGAAGGGAAAUUAAGCUGAAAGGAGGUAGAAAGGAACUUGUGUGCAGCACACACAGCCUUGAGAGAGGAGCAGCAGACUAAUCUGGAAUCAAACCAGCAAGGUCCGGAGAGAGCGCGCAUCUCCAUCUGGCCUCUGGAGAGGAAGGAGGUGAUUGUGCAGGCUACAGAGUGGAGGCUCAGCCUGCUGGGCCCUGCUGCUCCCAGGAUGUUGCUGCAGACCACCCUAUGGGGACCCCCGCUGUGGAUGCUAAGCAGAAGCUGGGAGAAAUGCCUGACUGCAGGAGAGCUGCUUCCCCUGUGCUGCAUCAAGCCUGGGGGAACCAGACCGAACCCUUUCCCACCUGUUCUAUUUGCAGCAUCCCAGGCCUUCAGUGCUGCCCAUCUACAAGCAGCUGGAGAAGGAGGGGCUACAAGGAUGAGGACAAAGAUGCUUCAGAGAGAGCAGUGUGUGUGUGAGUGUGUGUGUGUGUGUGUGAGUGUGUGUGUGUGUGUGUGUCUGUCUGUCUGUCUGUCUGUCUCUUUGUGUGUCUGUUUGUGUGUCUCUGUGUGGUAUGUAUGACUGUGUGUGAGUGUGUGUGUGUGUGCGCGCGUGUGUGUGUGUGUGUGUAUGUGUGUGUGUCUGUCUGUCUGUCUGUCUCUUUGUGUGUCUGUUUGUCUGUGUCUGUGUGUCUCUGUGUGGUAUGUAUGACUGUGUGUGUGUGUGUGUGUGUAAGUGUGUGUGUGUGACUGUAUAUAUGUGUCUGACUCUGUGUGUAUGUGUCUGUCUGUCUGUGAGUCUUUGUGUGGUAUGUGUGACUGUAUAUUAUGUGUGUGUGUGUGUGUGUGUGUGUGUGCAUGCAUGCAUGUGUGUGUGUAGUAUGUGUGUGGUAUGUGUGUAUGUAUGUGCAUGCAUGCAUGUGUGUGUGUAGUAUGUGUGUGGUAUGUGUGCAUGGUGUGUGUGUGUGUGUGUGUGUGAUUGUAUAUAAAUAUGUGUGUGAUUCUGUAUAUAUGUGUGUGACUGUACAUAUGUGUGUGACUCUGUAUGUAUUGUGUGACUGUACAUAUGUGUGUGACUCUGUGUGCUGUGUGUGUGUGUGUGUGUGUGUGUAUGUGUGUGUGUGUACAUGUGCCAGUGCAUAUGGAGGCCACAGAACAGCUUUGGGUUUCAAAAGCCUUCCACUACUUUUUAAGACAGGGUCUCACUGACCUGAAGCCCACUAACCAAGCUACGCUGGCGAACCCAGGAGUCCCAGGAAUGAACCUGUCUACCUCCCCAACAAAGCUGGGAUUAUACUACACCCGACUUUUUUUUACACAGCUUCUGGGGGUUGGACUUGUGUCCUAUGGUUGCAUACACUCUACCAACUGUGCCUACACUUUACCAACUGAGCCAUCUACCUGUCGGUUACUUAGGCAUGCCUGAAGUGUUGAGAGAAAAAGGCUUGCUCUAUAGCCCACUCUACGUUUUCCCAUAAACCCCUGUCGAGUUACUGAUCAUCAGGUCUUAAGCAGAGAGAGCGAGUCUUACAGGUUCAGGCACAGAUAAAACCAGUUCUCCAUCCUCUCUGGCUCCUGCAUCACCACGUAACAAUCACCUCUUCAAAGUUCUUGACCCCCACCCAAUCUGAGGUGCUCCAGCUAGCUCAAGGGGGAGCAGAGAAAGCAAGACUUACGUAAAAAGAGAAACAUGGCUCUCUGGCAAUCAAGACUGCCACACAGCAAGGCAAGAUUUCAAAAGCCUGUGCAUGCACUACUGAAGCAAAUCCAGGAUGGCUUCUGUGCCCAAUGCCCUUGUCCCUGCUUUAACAAAGGUGGGCCUGUCCCUCGACCCACAUUAUGCAGGGAAAAGAGAUUUAUACAAAGGAUCGCCUAUUUGCCACUUCUUCAUUCUAUUACAGGCGGGAGCAGAGGCUGACACCCACAAGGACCCUUUCCAGCCAGGGAUUAUAUAUCAUGCCAUAGAAAUACAGAAAAGACAAAUUAUCCUGAGAUCAUCACGCUUCCAUUGACCUGCUCAAGGUUUAAACCCAUCUGCAAUUAGAUGCCGUAGCCACAGAUCUGCAGGCGGCUUAAAUCGUCAGCAACGGGCUGUAAUCCUGGGGAAACAGAACAGGGUGGAUUUUUAUGGGUAUCUAAGUUUGGAUUCCGUGGGUCUGAUUUUGAUUCGUGGGAGGUUAGUAAUCUGCUCUUGUUACCCAGAUCCUCCUCAGUUUCUGAGGUAUUUAUAAUAUGAUAUCUAACUCAGGCUUGAAACACUCAUGAAAAUUAACGGCAUUAUUUUUAAAAAAUGUAACCGGGGAGAGAGAUGGCGAGGGAAAGCGGUGUGACGUGACAAAGGCUCAUCACUCUCGCACAUCCACCAGAGAGUUCGCCCAGCUGCUGUGACUGAUGAAUCUCACAGCUGCUAAUGUGCCCACUCUUUGGUCAGACCUGCCUUUCUAACGUGGAGACUUAUUAAGAAAUCUAUUUUACUGCCUGCUAUAAUAGGAGAAAUUGAAAAUCUAUCCACAGUGGGAGCAUAGAUGUUUUAUUUAUUUUAACACUUAAAAAGCAUAAGCCACCUGAUGUGAAGAUUUGGGGGCAUAGUAGAAAUGGCCACCAUGCUAAUGAUCACCAUGGUGGCGGCGGC